UGUACACGUGACACGAGUGUAUACUAUCCCUAUAAAUACAUUCACGCGGAGCGAGUGUGUCUCGAUUCGAGAGCAACAUGUAUGGUUCUCUCUCUCUCUCUCUCUCUCUCUCUCUCUCUCUCUUUCUCUGUAGGUUUCGUAGCUUUCGUAGAACGUAGAGUGUAGAAAAUCGGUAGGAGGUAGAAAACGAAGCUUCUAAAAGUCGCGGCCUCGGUGCCCUGGAGAGAGAAGAGUGUGUAGGCGCGUGAGGAAUGUAAUGCUUCGAAAACGUUGCCGCGAUCGUAAAGCAUCGCGUGGGUCUCUUCGCGAGGGGUUGCGCGAGCAAAUAAAUUCGUUCGGCCGUCACGCCGCCAUUUUUACCCUCGUCGAUCGGUUGGCUGACGAUGUCGUUUGUAUUGCAACGUACUUACGUGGAUAGGUGGUAAAUUCUUCGACGAGCUUAUUGGAGAAUCAUCGUGGCGGAAAUUGUGCGGCAAAUCGUUGAUGCGAAUCCCUCGAAGCGAGGUGAUCAGUGUCUCGAGGAACUCUCGACGGAGGAUACUUUGUGACGCUAAUGGUCCAGCGUUAGCCUUAAUUUUCACUUUUCUUUCUUGUAAUCGUGAAAUGACCUCUGCGUUGAAUGUUUAUUAUUCGGCAACUUAGGAUAGUCUUAGGCUAAUCAUCGAGAUAUUUUUGCAAAUACUUGAUUUGAAAAAAAAAAAAAAAGAAUCGUGGACUUCGGGUUUGUCGUUGGUGAGCUGGAAAAAGCGAAGAAAUCCGGUUCAGAAACGGGAUCGUAAUAGCGGCGUGUUUUGCACAAAGGUGCUAAUAAAAA